UUGCGGGUCUUCCAGGGCACAGCCGGAUACAAUCCUUCUCCUUGAGCGGUUUGCUGUGUUCCCGCCAACAGGAGAUCGACUGUCAGGAAUGAGCCAAAUUAACAGGAUUGAAUCCCUCUAGUGGUGAAAACUGUGAGAAGCAGAAGUGAUGGACAAUGAAGAGAUUGAUCUCGGAGUGAUUGCAGAUCCACCAUCCGCAGACCGCCACACCCAUACCAGGUCACGCAACAAGAUGUCCUUAGCCAUGAACAUGGAUUUGUGUAUUCAGAAAUUGUUGGGAAUGUGAAAUAUGCUGUGUUUGUGUGAAUAUAUGCCAGGAUGUUAAAUGCUGUGAUUCUGGGGAGGACCAAUGAUUGAUAGUGAUAUUGUUUAUUAAUAUGAGCACUAGAAACAUACUGUAUUUGGUAUUGGAGUAAUCAGAAAAAUGUGAUUAUAUUACCCCAACUAUAAUUAAAAUUGUAAGUGAUUAAUGCAAUAAGUUAUAGUAUGUUAAAUAAUCAUUAUAUAGGGAGAUAUUUGGAUCAGCAGUGGUUGAUGGUGAGACUGUAUUUGCUGGUUAUCUGCUGCCCCCUAGGGGAUUGGAACUGGUAUAACAGCCAAAUAAAUUGACUAUUGGAAUCCAUACAGAACCAAUCAGGGAGGCCUCUCCCAGAUAACCAAUGAGAGGGACAAGCUCCGUAGGGCGUAACCAAAAACAGAUCACCAAUGAUUAUAUAUAAGGAAAGAUGAAAGCAAGAGAGGAGGGUCUUGAGUCUUUUGUCUGCUGAAACUGGUCUGAUUGACAAACUGCUGCCAUAUUUGGGACACAAUCAACUUAAGCAAAAAGCUAAGACUAACUUCUUGAUCUAUGCCAUAACUUUUCUUCAUAUGAGGAGA